rnacentral:tRNA from 1 species
GUCGAGGUGGCGGAACAGGUAGACGCGCUAGACUCAGGCUCUAGUGGGCAAUGCGCCUGUGGGGGUUCGAGUCCCCCCCUCGACA